UGACGACCUCAGAUCAGGCGAGAC
rnacentral:rRNA from 2 species